UACAGAGGUCUCAAGCGUUGUUUCGGAUUCAUUGGGCGUAAAGGGUGCGUAGGCGGCGCGGUAAGUCGGGUGUGAAAAUUCGAGGGCUUAACUCCGAAACUGCAUUCGAUACUGCCGUGCUUGAGGACUGGAGAGGAGACUGGAAUUUACGGUGUAGCGGUGAAAUGCGUAGAUAUCUGGAGGAAUACCGGUGGCGAAGGCGGCAUCCUGGACCGACACUGACGCUGAGGAGCGAAAAGCCGGGAGG
rnacentral:rRNA from 1 species